rnacentral:rRNA from 1 species
UACGUAGGGGGCGAGCGUUGUCCGGAAUUAUUGGGCGUAAAGCGCGCGCAGGCGGUUUUUUAAGUUCGUGGUGAAAGACCGGGGCUCAACCCCGGAGCGUCCGCGAAGACUGGAAGACUGGAGUGUCGGAGAGGAGUGCGGAAUUCCUGGUGUAGCGGUGGAAUGCGUAGAGAUCAGGAGGAACACCGAUGGCGAAGGCAGCACUCUGGCCGAAUACUGACGCUGGAGGCGCGAAAGGCGUGGGGAGCGAACGGG